rnacentral:misc_RNA from 1 species
GUGAAUGCUUAAACUUGGCGCCCAUCGGAUUCAUCGUCCUUUGGCCCAUUUUUAUCCAAUCAACUAUUUUUCACACACUUGUGCACCAGUACAUUUUAUUACACGUUUGUGUAUUUGAACAACAGUUUAUGUGUCGUUUUUAAUGUGAUAACACAAUAA